rnacentral:rRNA from 1 species
UACGAAGGGGGCUAGCGUUGCUCGGAAUCACUGGGCGUAAAGCGCACGUAGGCGGCUUUUUAAGUCAGGGGUGAAAUCCUGGAGCUCAACUCCAGAACUGCCUUCGAUACUGGGAGUCUCGAGUCCGAGAGAGGUGAGUGGAACUGCGAGUGUAGAGGUGAAAUUCGUAGAUAUUCGCAAGAACACCAGUGGCGAAGGCGGCUCACUGGCUCGGUACUGACGCUGAGGUGCGAAAGCGUGGGGAGCAAACAGG